AACGAACGCUGGCGGCAGGCUUAACACAUGCAAGUCGAGCGCGGUCCUUCGGGACUGAGCGGCGGACGGGUGAGUAACGCGUGGGAACGUGCCCUCUUCUUCGGAAUAGCCCUGGGAAACUGGGAGUAAUGCCGGAUACGCCCUCUCGUAGCGAUACGGGUGGGGAAAGAUUUAUCGGAGGAGGAUCGGCCCGCGUUGGAUUAGGUAGUUGGUGGGGUAACGACCUACCAAGCCGACGAUCCAUAGCUGGUUUGAGAGGAUGAUCAGCCACACUGGGACUGAGACACGGCCCAGACUCCUACGGGAGGCAG
rnacentral:rRNA from 1 species